rnacentral:tRNA from 1 species
GUGGCUGUGGCUCAUUGGUAGAGCGCUCACCUGGCACGUGGGAGGCACUAGGUUUGAUCCUCAGCAUCACA